rnacentral:lncRNA from 1 species
AGGUCCAUCAGAGCAGCAGCGGAACCAGUUGGAGGAGCUGAGGAAAUUUGGGGCUCAGUUUAAGCUCCAGCCCAGCAGCGCCCCCCAGGACCCCCCCCCAGAGCCCCUCCCCCCACCCCGCAGCGGCCCCUCCCCCCCCGGAGCCCCCCCCGAGGCCCAAGGGGGGGGUGGGGGAGGGGCGGGGGGAGGGGCCGGGACCCCCCCGGGGACCCCCCAGGACAAGGACGAGCAGGUGAAGAAGUCGACGCUGAACCCCAACGCGAAGGAGUUCAACCCCUCGAAGCCCCUUUUGGGCGUGGGCAAAGCCGCUGCCCCCCCCUCGCCGGGGCCCCGCCUCCACCCCUCCCCCACGCUGGGGGUCAUGACCCCGCCGGGGGCGGGGCAAGGUGGGGGAGGGGCCGGAGGAGGAGGAGGAGGUGGGGGGGGAGGGGCGAGCAGCAUCUAUGCCCCUCCCCCUCCCUAUAUCUCCUAUAUACCCCAGCUCCAUGUGCAGGCCCCCCAAAUGUACCCGUACCCCGUGUCCACCCCCCCCCAAGGCAAAUACCGGGGAGGCAAAGGUUCCCUCCCCCCGCCGCCGCCGCGCUCGGAGCAGCCUCACGCCCCUCCCCCCCCAGCCCCUCCCCCGUCGGCAUCCGCCCCUCCUCCCCCUCCCCUGGUGCCUGUGGCCGCCCCUCCCCCCCCGCCCCCUCCCCCCCAUUACUCCCAGUACAUCUCGUACGGACCCCCCCAGGCCUUCGGGGGGGGGGCAGCCGCUCGUGCAGCCCCUCCCACACUACCCCUCGCAGGCUGUGUUCGCGCCGCUGCUCCCCGGCAGCCCCCGCCUGCACCCCUCCCCCACCCUGGUGUCCUCCGCCGCCCCUCCCCCGCCCCAGUUCCCUCCCGGCGACCAAUCAGGAGCCCCACAGACCCUGUACGCCGCUGUCCAUCAGCCCUUCCCCCCCCCGACGCCGGCCGGGAACCCGCCGCCCCCACCCCCCAGCCAGGCCCACGUACAGACGGGUCUCGCGGCGGCCCCGCCCCCCCCCCACCCCGGGGCCGCCCAUCCCCCCCCCCAGGUGAUGCUGCUGCACCAGAGCCACGGGGGGGGGGGGGGGGGGGGCGGCGUCACCCCCGGGCCCUUCCCCUACAUCGGCCACCACCAAGUCCAGUCGCAGCAGCUCCAGUUCCACCCCCCGGGCAACUGACGCCGCCCCCCAAGUGGCUCCUUCUGCCCCCCAAGUGUGGGGCUGGAGCGUGGGGGGGAAUCUAUGGGGCAGAGCUGGAGCCGCCCCUCCCCUCCCCCCCCGCGGGGGCUUUUCUAUUAUUUAUAGUGGGGGGAGGGGGGAGGGGGGAACCUUAAAAAUGGCCCCAAAUGACCCAAAAAAGAGGAAAAAAACCCCAAAACCGAAUAAAAAAA